AGUGAACGCUGGCGGUAGGCCUAACACAUGCAAGUCGAACGGCAGCACAGUAAGAGCUUGCGCUUACGGGGGGCGAGUGGCGGAAGGGAGAGGAAAACAACGGAAUCUACUUUUUCGUGGGGGAUAACGAAGGGAAACUUACGCUAAUACAGCAUCCGACCUAGGGGUGAAAGCAGGGGAUAUUCGGAGCGUGCGCGGAUGAAUGAGCGGAUGUCGGGUUAGCUAGUUGGCGGGGGAAAGGCCCACCAAGGCGGGGAUACGUGGCUGGUCUGAGAGGAUGAUCGGCCGCACUGGAACUUGGCCACCGUCCAUACUCCUGCGGGACGCCGCAGUGGGCAAUAUUGGGCAAUAGUCGCAAGCCUUGUCCAGUCAUACCGCGUGUGUUACGAAGACCUUCCGUUUGUAAAGCCCUUUUUUUGGUUAAAAACAGCAUCAGGUUGUUACCCCGCUUUUCUGACGGUACCCGAUGAAUAAGCACCGGCUAACUUCGUG
rnacentral:rRNA from 1 species